UCUUCAGAGGGAGUUUAAAAGGAUGAUCAAGCUUUCUUCCACGCUUUGUAGUUAUCCCUGUGUAGACCCCCCUUAAGAGAGCAAAGACAAUUAGUUUGUUUUUAAGGGAUUUUUGUUGGCAUGGGAAAGAUAAUGUCUUGCCACCUGGAGGAGCUGGCGACACCUCGGAUGAGUGAGUGGAGGGGCCCCUUUUCUGCUGUGAGGAGACUGCAUCAGACGAGACAAGAGACGUGGGCAGCCAGGAGGGUGGUUGCAAGCCCAUGCUUGCUGAUGUGAUGAAUAGGAAAUGGAGGGUUGGCUUGAAAAAGAAGACACCAAUAGGGGAAGACAGGGAUCUGGGGAGUAGGAGAGCUGUAUGUUGGGAGAGCAGAGGAAGAUAGCUGGACGGUUUCAUUGGCAUUGGAGGUGGAUUUAAGGAGUUUGAAGCUGAACAGGGCUUUACGGGAGAAAGGUAUUCUCAGGCCACCUCUAUUCCUGGAUCGUAUUUGUUAUAUGGACUGUGAGAGAGAGGGAAUUAUUCGUUAGAAUGGGGAGGUGAGUUAGCACUAUUGGUUCAGAUGCCCAAGUGAGGCCAAGUUUUGGGUUUGGUCGGAACUAAUGGCAUUGGAAAAUCUACUGUCCCGGUGUUCCGAAGUGGACCAGAGAUUGAGCUUGUUUUCCUACAUGGUGGAUUCUGGAAAUACAACACCGCACCUUCUAAUAUUUUUCCUUUAAGUGAGGAUAUCAUGGAUGCCAAGAACCAAAAUUUGAAGUCAUGAUCCGUGAAAAACAAGAACACAACCCAGCAUAUAGUUUCCUCUUUGGUGGUGAGGGGCAUAAUUAUUAUCGAUAUAAGCUUUGGUUAUCUACACGAUCCUCAACUGCUGCUGGGGUUUCGGCUUCAAUGUUGGGCACGCCUCAAAUGCAUCAACAACCUUCGUAUCUACCGUUUUAUGGCCAGUAGCAGCAGCGUCCUCGGCCUUUCCUAGGAGAUGCAUGGUCGACCAGAUUUUGAUCCCUCAUCCAAAUCCUUCAAGGGUCUGUCUGGACCACUUCCAUCUGAUGUUGCUGUGGGGCUGAGUAAGAAAAGUGAAAAGGCUUGAUCAAUCCCAAG